rnacentral:lncRNA from 1 species
AUGGAAGACAAAAUAUGCAACAGGAAGGAGGCAAUGAAUACUUCACAUACAACCAGGGAGAAUGCUAUUGGAAUUCCUGGUUUGUGCGUGGAGGGCUGUUGGUCAUUUGGAAAGGAUGUGCCUAUUGGAUAUGACAGGCCAGCUCCCAGAAGCAUCACUGGAUCUGCUCCCAGACUUACUUGUGAUUCAAGGCUGUGAGUCGCCUCUUUGCACAUAAGACAGAAAUGAAUGCUUACGCUCUACUGCCUAUCCAAAUACCUAGCUGCUGCUGCUGAGGGAGAAGAGCAGGAGCGUUGCCUUGAACGUGACCGCCACAUUAAGUCAUGUAAGUUGGGCUUAGCUAGAAAGGUUUUUUGUUUGUUUGUUUGUUUUUAGUUUUUCUUCAAAGGAAAUUUUAUAUUUCUAAUAGUUUUAUGGGUACUGUUUUCUGCAAAUAUCAUCUCCAGCCCUGGCUUUCUUCUUACAUUCACUGGAAACCAUUUCCACUUCAUUUCACAGUCAUGAACAAAUGAGUGUGACUUCUGGAUCCCCCAAGUUGCAAUGCUGUUAUAUCUAAGGAUUCCCACUGAAUUGCAGGGCUCUCAAAUGAAUCUCCAGAAAGAUCUCAUUUGGUCACUGAAGCUGUUAAACAGAUGAGAUUUAAGCUGAACAAAAGGGCCACAGCAUUACAAAUCCCACUUUAGAUAAAGUUUCCAAAAAAGCAUCUGUUAACCUAGUUCAGAGUAACAUCCCUGCAGCAGAAAGCCUACAGCUGAUGAUUCUGUCAUAACUGAUAUUAAGGCAAACACUGAACUGUUCAGAAAUAGGCAAAAUAGUUGAGGAAAAAAGGUAAACAACUUUCACUCUUAGAGAUGAGACAAUUUUUUAAAUAAUCCAAGUGAAUUCUUACUUUACUCUUUAUACCAUUUAAUGAGUAGGUGUCAUGGGAUGAAACAGUUCUAGCAAUCAUAUUUCCAGUGAAUCUAUAAGCUGAAAACAUUAGAUUUUUCAUAAAGCUUAAAAAUUCAGCUUGGUAAUUUUAAU